ensembl:lncRNA
GCGAUAACAGCUAGUUAGAUGAACCUGAACUUUCUUCGAACUGAACAGAGAAAGCCCUGCACCUCUUCAGUAUGAUGCUGUAGAGCAGAAUUGUGAGAGCAAUGCAUAUCCCUUUUGGUUUUGUUUUUGAUUUUUUGUUUUUUCAUUUUGCUUCUGAGUAGAAUUUCUUCAAAACAGCCCGCACAACCCCAAAAAGCAAUAUAAAGAUCCCAAUAUUUGAAGUAGGAAACGUGGGUGAGUAUGGGCACAUCUCAUGGUGCUAACCACUAAAAAACUUCAAUUCAUCCACUAUCCAAAGCUGAACGUUAAUUCUUGAAGGAUGAUAUUUCAAUAAACAAAUACACCAGUGAAGAAAGACAUCUUCAACAUGCUUUUGGCAUCUAGUCACCUGCCAGGCUCUCAGCUGAUGUUCUCAGUGCAAUCAUAACAGGGGAUUACAUCUCAAAUCUUUUCUACUCUAUAUCCGAUAGGGUGUCACACAUGUGAGUAGUCUGUCGCAAGAUGUAAGGGCCGCUACGCUGAUUUAUGGAGCUAUCUUCAUUCUGCUUAUAAAAAUCAUACUCAUAGCAGUAUGCAAAGCCCUGUCUAGAAAACGGCACAAGGUUUGUUAGAUGAGUGCUUGGUGUGCCGUGUCCAUCCUUUUACAUGGGCUGAGUAUCACUGACCGGGCUUCAAAACCAGUGAAUUUAGCACCAUUUAAAGGUGGCUGAUUCAAAUGUUAUUUGUCAAAAUCCUCUGAAGCUUCUUGUUUACAUUUUGUAAAAACAAUGAGACUAUGGCAGGUGCUGGCACGUACCUGCUCCUGAAUCAAAAUGUUCAAACAGAUAAUUCACAUCUACUUAUUUCGUAGAGAGGGACAGAAGUUCACAUUCCUCUUUCCAAUUCAUGCCCAGCUACCCUCAGUCUAAUUAUGGACAUUACUUGAAGUCCUAAAAGAAAUGAUGAGAAUAAAUACCAAAGAAGAACUCUGUCAGAGUCUUAGCUGCAGCAAAUGAAAUUAAUGCUUGAAGGAGCAGACCCAGAAUAAAAUCUUUUCUUUUUUUUUAAUGACAUAAAUAUAUAUUUCCUUUCAAUGAAGCGUAGCUUCCCUGAAAACCUGUUCUCUUGGGAAGACAAUGAGUUUAUAUGAAUGAUCUGUUAUCUUGGCAUGAAUUUAAAAUCUUCAGGGAGAUUGGGAAAAAGUAAAUACUAUAAAGUAUAACAUAGUUCUGUAUCUUGCUGAAAAUACAAGGGAAUGCAGACUUUUUUUCCUUUUAUACUGUAUCAUUACUGUAAGUUGACUGUAAGAUUAUGAUCCCUCUGUUCUGAUGUCUACUCACAUGAAAACAACCAGGAUGCUCAGUUUUCAGGUUUUAGGUUUCUGAGCUCUUUCAAAUCACAAUUAUCAAACUGAAGUUUUGUAUUUUAUGUAGCCAAGUCUGUAUAUGAGAUAAAAAUGACAUAGCUUUUAUAACUCUAAUCUUACUAUGAGGGGGAAGCAGCCAUCCUCAAUGUAUGCUGCACAGCAUAAAGGUGCUUUCAUCUUAAUAGUAAAACUCAUAUAAGCUGUUUAUCUGUUGAAACUGCUAAAAAAAAAAAUUCUACUUGAAUUUGUUAAUUGACCACGUUAGUAAUAUUUGAGAAAAGGAUAACUAGCAGAAAUUCCUAAACUUUUUGUGGUUUUGUUUUCCAUUGGAACCAGUGUUUUGAUUCAUUGUUACCAUAGCAAUGUCUUCAGCGUCUCCUAUAGGGACCAACUGCUGAGGCUGCACUGAUGGGGUGCUUACUCAUAUUUCCUUGAAAAGAUUUAGCUCCAUACUCUUUGGACAGCAGUCCUAUAAGCAGGGAGUGAUCUCCUGAUAUUCCAUAUAGCUGUUCUUGUGAAACUUUUCCCAAAUGAAAAACAAACUAAAAUCACAGCAGCACAACCUACAGGUUGGUUGGGUUUGGGGUUUUGUUUUGUUUUGUUUUCUACAAAGGAACCAUUAUAUUUUAUAGAUACAACGAAGAGCUUUUUAUUGAUGACUGAAGAAUGUAAAUUAAGUAUAGGAUAUAUGUAAGUGGCAUGGAAUUUCUCCAUUUGUAGCGUAGCUUUUAGUUGGAAAUUUGAAAACUAACAUAUUCUCUAGCACCACCAGGAGCAGACCCACAUGCAGUUUAUAUUUCUUUUUUUCUUAACACUACCCAUGGUCUGUAACACACCACUGUGGUGACGGGGUAUCUUGUCCUUUUUCCUCGCUCCUGCAUUGCAAAUCCCACUUCUGUGCUGUCUCGUAGCCUCAGACAUCACUGGACUGGCAGUAGUUCAGCAUUUAUAUUCACGUUCAAUUUUACUUUACCCUCAGAAUCAAGAAUAUAGCUUGAACCUAACUUUUGGGACAGCAGGGAGGUCUGAUGAGUAAAUUUAAGAUCCCAACUUUCAAAAUCACAUAUGCAUCCAUUUGUCUGCUGUGAGUAGUCCUAGAAAGACAGUGUUCCUGGAAGAAGGAUUUGAGGAGGCUGCUCUGUGGGGUGCUUCCCUGCCCUUCCACACAGCUAUCUGUUCUCAGCAGUUCCAGUCACAGAGCCUGCAAUUCUCUUCAGGUUUCCUUGUCCAUACAUUAAAUCCCACUGCUUGUAUGCAUAUGGCGCAAGGUACUACUGCUUGUCUAACCUGGAUAUUCAGGUGGCCAAAAGCAAACAUAAAGAACAGACACCGUUUGGGCAAAGCUAGCAUUUUCCUUUUUCCACUGGCUCCUUGGUAAGUUAAUUUUGAAGUACAGAGGAUUUUGUUUCAAGCCCACUGGUGUUUUCCCAUGAAUUACCAUCUUGACCACUUGUGUGGUGUUACCUAUGAAGUGCCGUGAUGCUGUAAUUUGUGGACAGCACUUGUUCUGGGAUGAGGAGCAGUGCCAGUCAGAGCAAAGCCUCUGACUCCUGCAGAGAACCAAAGACCAGAAGCCAUCUGAAGUGACGCUUCAAGUACGGCUUUGAGCUGCUGAUUCAUACUGAAGUGUUUCUGAAGGUUAAGACCCCCUAUCAUGCAUUCUGCUAAAUAAUGUAAAUAAUUCCAGCGUUUAUAAAACGAUCAGAAGAGUUAUGUAUAACACAAAUUGUUUUAAGUACAUCUUGUCUUGAAGGAAUACGGAUCACUAUUUCUUAGUUGUGAAAAUAUUUGGAAAUGAAGAAUACAGAUUAUAGGACAAGAAUACAAAAAAAAAAAGUAUUAAGAAUAAUUAAUAUCCUACUGUUUCUAAAUAGGUAGAGGACCUCUCACUGUUGUGGCACAGCUUUUCCCACAGGAGGAGGAACAGAUUUUGAGUUGCGCCAGGGUACAACAUCUGAGGAGCUCACCUCACUUUCAUUUCUUUCUGAGAUCUCUCUCCUGUGGCUUCAGAGGAGAACUCAUCACUGUGCAAACACUGUGCUCCGAGGAGGUACCAGAGCUUCUGAGCAGCUUUCCUUCUUUGCAGGGAGGAUCUGGUUGCAGCACUUUGUCUGCUUUCAUCAGGUAGUUCACUGAAGUGCUGGCUGUGCCCUGCAUGGCUCGCUUGCUGUCUGCAGCUACCAUCCUGAGAACUAACUGUACUGAAAGCACUUAGAGAUGGAAUGAACGUAAUGGAGACGUGGUUUGCUGUUCACUGUGAAUAUCCAGCUUGGAUAGUUGGAAUAACUGCAAGGGAAGAAUUGCCUUUGCAAAUCAUGUGCCUGAUACACUGUCUGAAUAGUAUUUCAGCCCUCACUGUUUAGUGAACGAGGACAUUAAGAUGCCCACAAAUGGAAGUGGAAUGAUUGAUUCCCAGGAAUAGUUUAAUAGUCACAAAUGCAGUUUUUCAGGCUUCUUGCUGAACACUAGCCAAGUAAUAAGGCUUCAUUUAAACAGAUGAACUUUUAUUGUAGACUUCUACCUGAUUUCCUGCUUUCCUUUACUGACCACCAGAUCUUUUUGCAUAUCACAUGAAUUUUUGUUUACCUUAAAGCUGAUCUGUAGAUAUGCAUGAAACAGCAGCUAGCGUGGACAUGAAGUCUGAGCAUUCCUCAUACUUAGGGUGAGUCUUGUGAAACCUUUUCAGCAGCCAAAAGUCUUGAGCCUUUCACUGACAUAAGACAACUAAAAUAUCAGCAAAAUUGGUUCUGCUGUCAAUAAAAUCACCAAUGAACACUUGACUUGGAUUUGGGGCUUCUGAAUAGUAUAUACAUAUGUAACACUACAUACACAAACUUUUGUAGAACACAAAAAUGAAUGAUCCAGCUUAAGGUUAGUUCCUCUAAAUAGAUGGAGAGAGUAUCCACUUAACCACAUAGCCUAAACACAAUGAAGAUGGGGAAAAAGCUGUCUAUUUUCAACUGUGUUUAUUUUUUCACCGAUAAAAAUAAAAAGAGAAGAAAAAUAAUCAUAGUGCCUAUGACAAAGAUUGUGUUUCAAGGAGUGUGCAAUGUAUACCACUAUUAUUUUGACUGCAAAUGAAAACCGCUUUUGAACUGACUGUGGUUCAAGAGAAAUUAACAUAGAAAAACUGUCACACAGCAUUCCAGGAAAUGUUUUGGUUCAGUAUGUUUGGCCUCCGUUUUUGUGGAGCUGUACAUUCCUGUCCAUGGUUUUAAAGGAUAAAAAAAAAGAACUGAUU